UACGUAGGGGGCGAGCGUUGUCCGGAUUCAUUGGGCGUAAAGCGCGCGUAGGCGGCUUCGCAAGUCGGCCGUGAAAUCUCCGGGCUCAACUCGGAGGGGUCGGGCGAGACUGCGAGGCUCGAGGUGGGCAGAGGGCAGUGGAACUCCGGGCGUAGUGGUGGAAUGCGUAGAGAUCCGGAGGAACACCAGUGGCGAAGGCGGCUGCCUGGGCCUGGCCUGACGCUGAGGCGCGAAAGCGUGGGGAGCAAUCCGG
rnacentral:rRNA from 1 species